rnacentral:snRNA from 1 species
AUACUUACCUGGUAGGGGAAGUUUUGAUCUUCCCAGAGUGAGGUUUAUCCAUUGCAUUCUAGAAGUGUUGACCCUAUGAUAUCCCCAAAUGUGGGAAUUCAGCUACAUAAUUUGUGGUAGUGGGGGCAAAAAAGUUUUUUUAUUUUUAUUAUUUUCCCUUU